rnacentral:rRNA from 1 species
GACGAACGCUGGCGGCGUGCCUAAUACAUGCAAGUAGAACGCACAGUUUAUACCGUAGCUUGCUACACCAUAGACUGUGAGUUGCGAACGGGUGAGUAACGCGUAGGUAACCUGCCUGGUAGCGGGGGAUAACUAUUGGAAACGAUAGCUAAUACCGCAUAAUAUUGAUUAUUGCAUGAUAAUUAAUUGAAAGGUGCAAUUGCACCACUACCAGAUGGACCUGCGUUGUAUUAGCUAGUAGGUGAGGUAACGGCUCACCUAGGCGACGAUACAUAGCCGACCUGAGAGGGUGAUCGGCCACACUGGGACUGAGACACGGCCCAGACUACUACGGGAGGCAGCAGUAGGGAAUCUUCGGCAAUAGACGAAAGUCUGACCGAGCAACGCCGCGUGAGUGAAGAAGGUUUUCGGAUCGUAAAGCUCGGUUGUAAGAGAAGAACGGGUGUGAGAGUGGAAAGUUCACACUGUGACGGUAUCUUACCAGAAAGGGACGGCUAACUACAUG